rnacentral:lncRNA from 1 species
GGUCGUCAGCUGCGAGGUUUUAGAGGCUUAUUUAAUAAAAGUUCCAAGUCCUCAGUGGACACACAUAUUGGAGUUCCACCUCGUAAGCGAUCCAUAACCGACCACCUCCUUCGGAGGACUGCCAGUGCCCCUGCUAAGGGCCGCAAAAAGAUAAAGAUGCCACUGACUGAAGCUACAAGUGACAGAAAGCACAGCACUGGGGACCCUCAAACCACUUGUGUAGAGAGGAGAGCAGGAAACAGAAAAGCCCUCCAACACCGCCCAGCAUCCAUGCCCCUGGAUAAGCUCCUACAUAGUCACCUCAGCCUGUCCACCCCAGAUCGGGAGAGCCCUGAUCCUGGAGCUGACACAGUCAUUGUAGAAAACUGACUAGGAAAACCCCCGCAG